UACGGAGGGUGCAAGCGUUAUCCGGAUUUACUGGGUUUAAAGGGUGUGUAGGCGGGCUUUUAAGUCAGUGGUGAAAUCUCCGGGCUCAACCUGGAAACUGCCAUUGAUACUAUUAGUCUUGAAUUUUGUUGAGGCAGGCGGAAUAAGUCAUGUAGCGGUGAAAUGCAUAGAUAUGACUUAGAACACCAAUUGCGAAGGCAGCUUGCUAAACAAAUAUUGACGCUGAGGCACGAAAGCGUGGGGGAUCAAACAGG
rnacentral:rRNA from 1 species